GUAUUUUAACUGUGCUAAGGUAGCAUAAUCAUUUGUCUUUUAAUUGAGGGCUGGAAUGAAGGGUUGGACGAGGUAUUAGCUUUCUUUAAUUUAAUUUGAAGAAUUUAAUUUUUGAGUUAAAAAGCUUAAAUUUAUUUAUGGGACGAGAAGACCCUAUAGAUCUUUAUAGUUUUAUAUUUUAAUAAUUUGGGGAUUUAUAUAUUUUAAGUAAAUAAACUAUUUUGUUGGGGUGACUGUAGAAUUUUAAUAACUUCUAUUUUGUAUUUUCAUUAAUUAAUGUUUUUGUGAUCCAUAAUUUAUGAUUAGAAGAUUAAGUUACCUUAGGGAUAACAGCGUAAUUUCCUCGGAGAGUUCAUAUUGAUGAGGGAGUUUGCGACCUCGAUGUUGGAUUAAAAUAAGUUAU
rnacentral:rRNA from 1 species